rnacentral:tRNA from 1 species
GGGCGGGAAGGCUCAGCCUGGUUAGAGCGUGGCCUUGGUAAGGCCGAGGUCGCGGGUUCAAACCCCGCCCGGGGCU